UAGGGAAUCUUCCACAAUGGGCGGAAGCCUGAUGGAGCAACGCCGCGUGUGUGAUGAAGGGUUUCGGCUCGUAAAACACUGUUGUAAGAGAAGAAUGACAGGGUUNAGAGUAACUGUUCAAUGUGUGACGGUAUCUUACCAGAAAGGAACGGCUAAAUACGUGCCAG
rnacentral:rRNA from 1 species